rnacentral:rRNA from 1 species
UCCAGACUCCUACGGGAGGCAGCAGUGAGGAAUAUUGGUCAAUGGGCGAGAGUCUGAACCAGCCAAGUCGCGUGAGGGAAGACGGUCCUAUGGAUUGUAAACCUCUUUUGCCGGGGAGCAAAAAGCGGUACGUGUACCGCAUCGAGAGUACCCGGAGAAAAAGCAUCGGCUAACUCCGUGCCAGCAGCCGCGGUAAUACGGAGGAUGCGAGCGUUAUCCGGAUUUAUUGGGUUUAAAGGGUGCGCAGGCGGCACGGCAAGCCGGCGGUCAAACCGCGGGGCUCAACCCCGGCGAGCCGUUGAAACUGUCGGACUAGAGACGGCGAGAAGUACGCGGAAUGCGCGGUGUAGCGGUGAAAUGCAUAGAUAUCGCGCAGAACUCCGAUUGCGAAGGCAGCGUACCGGCGCCGGACUGACGCUGAGGCACGAAAGCGUGGGUAUCGAACAGGAUUAGAUACCCGUGUAAUA